rnacentral:rRNA from 1 species
AACGUAGGUGGCAAGCGUUAUCCGGAUUUACUGGGCGUAAAGGGUGUGCAGGCGGGGAAGGAAGUGGUGGUUGAAAUCUCCAGGCUUAACCUGGAAGGGUUAUGCCAGACUGCUGCUCUAGAGGACGAGAGAGGGGGGUGGAAUUCCGGGUGUAGUGGUGAAAUGCGUAGAGAUCCGGAGGAACCCCAGAGGCGAAGGCGGCCCCCUGGCUCGUACCUGACGCUCAGCCACGAAAGCAUGGGGAGCGAACGGG